rnacentral:rRNA from 1 species
AGAGUUUGAUCAUGGCUCAGGAUGAACGCUAGCGGCAGGCUUAACACAUGCAAGUCGAGGGGUAUAGGUUUUCGGACCUAGAGACCGGCGCACGGGUGCGUAACGCGUAUGCAAUCUACCUUUUACAGAGGGAUAGCCCAGAGAAAUUUGGAUUAAUACCUCAUAGCAUUGCAGAAUGGCAUCAUUCAGCAAUUAAAGUCACAACGGUAAAAGAUGAGCAUGCGUCCCAUUAGCUUGUUGGUAAGGUAACGGCUUACCAAGGCAACGAUGGGUAGGGGUCCUGAGAGGGAGAUCCCCCACACUGGUACUGAGACACGGACCAGACUCCUACGGGAGGCAGCAGUGAGGAAUAUUGGUCAAUGGGCGCAAGCCUGAACCAGCCAUGCCGCGUGCAGGAUGACGGUCCUAUGGAUUGUAAACUGCUUUUGUACAGGAAGAAACAGUUCUACGUGUAGAACCUUGACGGUACUGUAAGAAUAAGGAUCGGCUAACUCCGUGCCAGCAGCCGCGGUAAUACGGAGGAUCCAAGCGUUAUCCGGAAUCAUUGGGUUUAAAGGGUCCGUAGGCGGUUUCGUAAGUCAGUGGUGAAAGCCCAUCGCUCAACGGUGGAACGGCCAUUGAUACUGCAAGACUUGAAUUAUUGUGAAGUAACUAGAAUAUGUAGUGUAGCGGUGAAAUGCUUAGAGAUUACAUGGAAUACCAAUUGCGAAGGCAGGUUACUAACAAUAUAUUGACGCUGAUGGACGAAAGCGUGGGUAGCGAACAGGAUUAGAUACCCUAGUAGUCC